GACGAACGCUGGCGGCGUGCUUAACACAUGCAAGUCGAGCGGUAAGGCCCUUUCGGGGGUACACGAGCGGCGAACGGGUGAGUAACACGUGGGUGACCUGCCCUCAGCUCUGGGAUAAGCCUGGGAAACCGGGUCUAAUACCGGAUAUGACUCCAUGACGCAUGUUGUGGGGUGGAAAGCCUUGUGCGGCUGAGGAUGGGCCCGCGGCCUAUCAGCUUGUUGGUGGGGUGAUGGCCUACCAAGGCGACGACGGUAGCCGGCCUGAGAGGGCGACCGGCCACACUGGGACUGAGACACGGCCCAGACUCCUACGGGAGGCAGCAGUGGGGAACCUUGCGCAAUGGGCGAAAGCCUGACGCAGCGACGCCGCGUGAGGGAUGACGGCCU
rnacentral:rRNA from 1 species